UUGCUGAUCCAAUUUUCCAUUGCUUCCUUUUCAUAUGAAUAGCCAUCUAAAAAAAAAAAAUCACACAAAUUACAUGAUGUAGGAAAGGGAAAUGAGGAUGUCUAAAAUGAAGUGAAUGUAAAAACUCCCUGCAGAGGCCUUUAUUGUGACUUAAGGGUUAUUCCUGUCUUGCUUGUACCAGCACCCCCAAAAAUCUCUCUGCCACAACACCUGAAAUGCAUUGAUUGGAUGGAGACGUAUGAAGCAAAAAUUGCCCAGAAGAGUAACAUUAUAAACACUUUGAACAGUACCACUGAGACUGGGACCCUGUCAAAUUCAGACACAGUGGAAGAGAAGAAAGGAACAGAGCUGGGUAGAGUGGGAGUGAGGAUAAACUGCCCAUCAGAGCUGUUGGAAAGUUUGGCUGAAUCAUAAGGCUCUUUUCAACACCUUGAAAAGUCAGGAAAACAGGUACCCAGAGAUGACAGAAUUUACUCCCCUAAGGAUUUGACAGCGAAGGGACUUAGGUUUUUUUGUUUGUUUGUUUGUUUUGAGACCAAGUCUCACACUGUUGCCCAGGCUGGCAUACACUGGCGAGAUCUUGGCUCACUGCAAGCUCCACCUCCCAAGUAGCUGGGAUCACAGGCACCUGGUACCACAUCUGGCUAAUGUUUUGUAUUUUUAGUAGAGUUUCACUAUGUUGGCCAGUCUGGUCUUGAACUCCUGACCUCAGGUGAUUCACCCACCUUGGCCUCCCAAAGUGCUGGGAUUACAGGCAUGAGCCACCAUGCCCGGCCACCAAGGUUUUUUUAAAACCAUAUUCUUGCAAAAUUAUUUGCCUUUAUACAUGUAAAGAUUGGACUUUUGCUUCACUACUUUCAUUUUUAUACUUGUAGCUCUUUCUCAAGCUGAAAAUCUUGGUUCCUGAUUUCAUUUACUCAUUUAGUCUACAGUACAUAUCACUGUUUCAAAAUAAUGCCAGUAUAUUUACUAACAUAAAACUGAAAGAAAUUUUAAGAUUACUUUAUGGUUCUUUCCGUCAUCAAGGACUAGAGUGGUCCCAAAAUACUGUGUCUGAAAACAACACUUACUUGGUUUCAAAGUUAAAACUAUAGGCUGGGCGUGGUGGCUUUCACCUGUGAUCCCAGCACUCUGGGAGGCCAAGGCGGGUGGAGCCACUUGAGGUCAGGUGUUUGAGACCAGCCUGGCCAACAUGGCAAAACCCUACCUCUACUAAAAAUACACAAAUUAGCUGGGCAUGGUGGCAGGUGCCUGUAAUUCCAGCUACUCAGGAGGCUGAGGCAGGAGAAUCACUUGAGCCCGCGAGACAGAGGUUGCAGUGAGCUGAGAUCGCACCACUGCACUCCAGCCUGGGUGACAGAGCAAGACUCCAUCUCAAAAAAAAAAAAAGUUACAACUAUAAAACAAGGUACCUUCAGAGGGGUCUAAUCUAACCCUGUCCAAUCCUUGUUACCCACCCUUCCCAUAUAAGUAACCAUGUGUAAUCCAUUUUCAAAUAUGUAUAUGUGCACACAGUACAUAUACAUUCUACAUAAAAGCUAGCAUACUAGCCACACUAUUUUGCAACUUGGUGUGUUUAUUUUCCCCACAGUACUCCACUGUAAGGAUGUAAGAUGUAAGGACAUCUGGGUGGUUUCCAAUCUUUGCCUUUUACAAAUAGUGCCGUACCAAGGAAACCCCAAGAAAACCAUACACACACAAAAUACAAAUAGUGCUACAAUGAAGUCUUAUGCAUGUGUCACUUUUGGGGAGAUUUCAGAAGUAGGAUUGCUAAAGCAGCAUAUAUAAUCUCGCUAGAUAGUGCCAACUUCCUUCCAUAGGAAUUCUAAGUUUUUCAUUCCUGCUAGCAAUGUUUAUGAGAAUGCCUUUUUCCCCUACAGCCUAACCAACAGUAUAUGUUGUCAAACUCCUGGAUUUUUGCCAGUCUCUAGGUUGUCCUUAAGAUUUCAUAUAUAUGGAAUAUCAACACUUCAUCAAUUUCUCCCUUGAUUCCCAGAGAGCGAAGUUUUCCCAAUUCUAUCAAGGAAUUUACUUACAAAUUCUAUCAAGGAAUUUACUUACAUUGUCUUUGGGACUUUAAAAGUCUUUGAAGAGAUGGGGUCCUGCUGGUCUCAAGCUCCUGGGCUCAAGUGACCCUCCUUACAUCAGCUUCCGGAAUAGCUGGGACUCCAGGUACAAGCCGCUGCGCUCUGCAGGUUUCCCUUUUUAUGUCUGGGUUUCUGAUUCAUUUGGAAUUUAAAUAUACACUAUGCAAGAUGGAUCCAAUUUUAUCCUUUUCCACAGGGUGGUCUUAUUGUCAAAAUACCACUUGUUAGAAGUGAUUUUUACCACUGAUUUUAAAUGCUAUCUUUAUCAAUCACUAAAUUUCCAAAUGUACAUGGAUCGAUUUCUGGAUUUUAAACUUUUCCAUUGUUCUAUUCCUGGGCCAACACUACACAUUCACUUAUGGAGGUUCUCGACAUGUAACAUCUCAUAGGACCAGCAACCUUCCUCAUUGUUUUUUUCUAGGUUAUUUUUGCUGUUCUUGUUUAUUAGGUUCCACGUGAAGAAUCACCUUGUGUAUCUCUCGGUAAAAAGUUUUAUCAGGAUCAUGUCAACCCUAUGAAAUGGAGAAAGCUGAUAUCCCGCAGCCACUGAGUCUUCCUACCCCUCAGCAUGCUCCACCUGCCAUUAUACUUUCACAGGGAUGUUUUUGUUUUUAUGUAGGGUUGAAAGUUUUACCUAUUUCUUAAGUUUGGGGUUUUGGUGUGUGUGGUUUUUUUCUAAGAUAGGGUCUCACUCUGUCACCCAGGCUAGAGUCCAGUGACAUGACGGUAGCUCACUGCAGCCUCGACCUCCCAGGCUCAAGCAAUCCUCUCACCUCAUCCUCCCAAGUAGCUGGGACUACAGGCAUACACCACAACACCUGGCUAAUUUUUAAAAAUUUUUUGUAGAGAAGGGGGUCUCAUUACGUUGCCCAGGCUGGUCUAGAACACCUUGGCUCAAACAACGCUCCCACCUUGGCUUCCCAAAGUGCUGGGUUUACAGACAUGGAUUAUACUGCACCCAGCCAAGUUUAGGUCUCAUUUGUUCUAGUUUUUGUUACUGUAACUUAACUAUUCAGUUAUAACUUUUAAGUGCUUUGGUUCACUGAAUCUUACUUAACUUGCUACUUUACAAAAUUCAUAUUGUUUAUAGAUUUUCUAUUCUUUUGGGCUUUCUACAUAUACAGUUAUAUAGAAAGGGUUUUUCCCUUUCAAGUUUUUUUUGGUGGGGGGGCAAGGGGUGGCUAAUAUUUCUAAAACAAUAGCUGAGAGAGAGCAUCCUUUAUAUCCCUGACUGUAAUGGGAAUGCUUCCACUGGCUUCUGUGCCAAGGUAUAUGUAUUUUUUAUCAUAUAAGAAAGUCGGCUAGGCUCAGUGGCUCAUGCCUAUAAUCUCAGCAAUUGGGAGGCCAAGGCAAGUGGAUCACUUGAGCCCUGGAGUUUAAGACCAGCCUGGGCGACAUGGUGAAACCCCAGAUCUGGAUUGUUUUGGUUGUUUCACCUCUGUGUUACUUUUGCCUACUUACAAAUUAGUACCAGCUGUGUAGCUCCCCCACCUUGGGGGCCUGAGUUCUGGCCCUGAGAGACUGAGGUUCUGAGAAACUAAACUUCUGUUUCCUCCGUCCUAGAGAAGGAAACAUGCUUUCUGCAGAAACUGUUACCUGUGACUGCCUUUUGCUCUUUUUGAGAUAUAUUUCACACCAUAAAAUGCACCCAUUUGUGGUUCUUGGUAUAUUUCAGAGUUGUGUAUCACUCCAUCAAUCCCAUACCCAUUAGCAGUCACUGCCCCCGCAGCGUGUGGCCACCUCUAACUGACUUUGUCUCUAUGGAUUUGCCUGUUUUGGGCAUUUCAUAUAAUGGGAAUCAUACACUAUGCAGCCUUUGGUAUAGGGCUUCUUGCACUUACCAUAAUUUUUCCAAGGUCCAUCCUCUACAUAUUUGUGCAUUUUUAUGGCUCGAUAUUCUCUUGUAUGGCUAUACGACAUUUCAUGCAUUCACUUGUUGAUGGACAUCUGGGUUGUUUCCACCUUUGGGCUACUAAUAAUGCUGCUAUGCCUGUACAACUUUUUGUAUGAUUAUGUGUUUUCAAUUCUCCUGCCUAUAGACUUAGGAGUGGAAUUGUAAUAACUUUCUGAAGAGCUUCCAGACUGUUUUCAACAGCAACCACACAUGAAGGUUCCAUUUUCUGCACAUCCUUGCCAACACGUAUUUUCCUACUUUUUGAUUCUAGCCAUCUUAACAGGUAUGACAUGGUUUUGAUUGGCAUUAAUGACACUGACCGUCUUUUGAAGUGCUUAUUGCCAAACAGCAUAUCAUUAGACUGUUCCAGGGCACCAUUACCUAUAUUAACUUCUUUAAUCUGCACAACAACCUUAUGAUGUAAGAUAUUGUUAGCAUUCCUAUUUUAUAAAUGAGGAAACUGAGGUAUGGCCUGAAUAACUUUCCAGGGUCACACAGGUAGGGAGCAACUGACCUGGGAUUUAAACCCAAGCAGUGUGGCUCCACAGACAAUGCUCUUACUCUCCCUGUACACGGGACUUCCAGAAAGGACAACUAUAGUAACUGAAAUUUUAAAAAAAUCUCAUUGGACAGGUAAACAGCAGUUAGACAACUGCAGGAAAGACAACUGGUAGGCAGGUCCAAGAAAAACACCUAGAAAGGCUUAAGAGAGAAGCUGCAGGGGAUGAGAAUGGCUGAAACAUUUCCAGAACUAGUGAAAGGCAUGAAAGAGAAAAGUCUACGAUGACAAAUAGGAAUUAGACAGUAUACUUGAACUGCAACUGAAAAGCAUACCUGAAGUCAGAGUAUAACCAAGUAUAACCCAACACGGUGAAGGCUCUAGAGAAAAAGCAGAGUGGGCAGAUCAGGUUUAGGAGGUUUUUAUAUGUUCAGAAUAGACCUGAAAGAAAUAAUCUAGCUGGAACACCUACCAGUGCAGGGCAGGCAUUUCUACUCUUUAGCCCCAGUUAACAUUUAGUUUUUAGGUUUUCUGUAAUUCUAACCAAAAUACCACUUUGUGUUGUAACAUAAGAUGAUUCUAAAAUUUAUCUUGGCUGGGCACAUCACUUGAGGUCAGGAGUUCAAGACCAGCCUGGCCAACGUGGCAAAACCCUGUCUCUACUAAAAAUACAAAAAUUAGCCAGACAUGGUGGCACGUGCCCAUAAUCCUAGCUACUAGGGAGGCUGAGGCAGGAGAAUCGCUUAAACCCAGG
rnacentral:lncRNA from 10 species